rnacentral:rRNA from 1 species
GACUCGUCACACUAUCAUUAACUGAAUCCAUAGGUUAAUGAGGCGAACCGGGGGAACUGAAACAUCUAAGUACCCCGAGGAAAAGAAAUCAACCGAGAUUCCCCCAGUAGCGGCGAGCGAACGGGGAGGAGCCCAGAGCCUGAAUCAGCAUGUGUGUUAGUGGAAGCGUCUGGAAAGGCGCGCGAUACAGGGUGACAGCCCCGUACACAAAAGCGCAUGUGCUGUGAGCUCGAUGAGUAGGGCGGGACACGUGGUAUCCUGUCUGAAUAUGGGGGGACCAUCCUCCAAGGCUAAAUACUCCUGACUGACCGAUAGUGAACCAGUACCGUGAGGGAAAGGCGAAAAGAACCCCGGCGAGGGGAGUGAAAAAGAACCUGAAACCGUGUACGUACAAGCAGUGGGAGCACAGGUUUACCUGUGUGACUGCGUACCUUUUGUAUAAUGGGUCAGCGACUUAUAUUCUGUAGCAAGGUUAACCGAAUAGGGGAGCCGGAGGGAAACCGAGUCUUAAUUGGGCGUUAAGUUGCAGGGUAUAGACCCGAAACCCGGUGAUCUAGCCAUGGGCAGGUUGAAGGUUGGGUAACACUAACUGGAGGACCGAACCGACUAAUGUUGAAAAAUUAGCGGAUGACCUGUGGCUGGGGGUGAAAGGCCAAUCAAACCGGGAGAUAGCUGGUUCUCCCCGAAAGCUAUUUAGGUAGCGCCUCGUGAAUUCAUCUCCGGGGGUA